rnacentral:lncRNA from 1 species
AAGGUAUCGUUUGGUUCGGGGAUAAGAAAAAAGUGGCUAUUCCAGGAAUAGAUAUAAAUUGAGGUAUAAACGAGGAUUAGAUCAAUUUUACGUUUGGAUGAAAAUUGGGUUAUUCCUGGAAUAAAAAAAUAGCGUUUGGUUAGGUAAGAUAGAAUAAGAGAGAUAAUGGAUUUUGUAAAUAAAAAAUAAUGAUAUGCGUACCCAAUGCGU